GCCAGGUAUUAUUUUGCACUCAUAUAAAAAAAAAAACCUUUACAUGGAUAGGGAGACUCAGCUGUUAUCGUAUGAUAUGCUCAUCCACUCCAAAUUAAUGGAAUUUUCAGCUGUCAUUUUUAAUGUGUCCUAAAAUACCUGUAUAAUAAUACUCGUUUGUUACUGUCUUAGACAAGCUGAUGGCACAUCAUUUUAGAUGAAAAGUAAAUAGAAAUUUGAAUAACAUGCCCAACAGACC